AUUGAACGCUGGCGGCAGGCCUAACACAUGCAAGUCGAGCGAGAGGCGGACGGGUGAGUAAGGUCUGGGAAACUGCCUGAUGGAGGGGGAUAACUAAUGGAAACGGUAGCUAAAACCGCUAACCAUCAGAUGGGCCGAGUGGGGAUUAGCUAGUAGGGUGGGUAAAGGCACACCUAGGCGUCGAUCCCUAGCUGGUCUGAGAGGAUGACCAGCCACACUGGAACUGAGACACGGUCCAGACUCCUACGGGAGGCAGCAGUGGGGAAUAUUGGACAAUGGGCGAAAGCCUGAUUCAGCCAUGCCGCGUGUGUGAAGAAGGCCUUCGGGUUGUAAAGUACUUUCAGUGGGGAGGCGUUACCCGCAGAAGAAGCACCGGCUAACUCCGUGCCAGCAGCCGCGGUAAUAC
rnacentral:rRNA from 1 species